rnacentral:rRNA from 1 species
UACGUAGGGCGCAAGCGUUGUCCGGAAUUAUUGGGCGUAAAGAGCUCGUAGGCGGUCUGUUACGUCCGCUGUGAAAACCCAGGGCUUAACCCUGGGCUUGCAGUGGAUACGGGUAGACUAGAGGCAGGUAGGGGAGAAUGGAAUUCCCGGUGUAGCGGUGAAAUGCGCAGAUAUCAGGAAGAACACCCGUGGCGAAAGCGGCUCUCUGGGACGGUACUGACGCUGAGACGCGAAAGCGUGGGGAGCGAACAGG